GACGAACGCUGGCGGCGUGCCUAAUACAUGCAAGUCGAACGCUUCUUUCCUCCCGAGUGCUUGCACUCAAUUGGAAAGAGGAGUGGCGGACGGGUGAGUAACACGUGGGUGACCUACCCAUCAGAGGGGGAUAACACUUGGAAACAGGUGCUAAUACCGCAUAACAGUUUAUGCCGCAUGGCAUAAGAGUGAAAGGCGCUUUCGGGUGUCGUUGAUGGAUGGACCCGCGGUGCAUUAGCUAGUUGGUGAGGUAACGGCUCACCAAGGCCACGAUGCAUAGCCGACCUGAGAGGGUGAUCGGCCACACUGGGACUGAGACACGGCCCAGACUCCUACGGGAGGCAGCAGUAGGGAAUCUUCGGCAAUGGACGAAAGUCUGACCGAGCAACGCCGCGUGAGUGAAGAAGGUUUUCGGAUCGUAAAACUCUGUUGUUAGAGAAGAACAAGGACGUUAGUAACUGAACGUCCCCUGACGGUAUCUAACCAGAAAGCCACGGCUAACUACGUG
rnacentral:rRNA from 1 species